CCAUGGAAGGAGCUUAAACUUCAUAAGUCUAUGCCAUGGUCGGAGCUAAAAACUCAUAAGUCUAUGUCGGUUUAAUUUUUUUUUUUUAAAGUUGUUGACUUAUGCAUUUUAGGCUCUGUCCAUGAAAGGGACUUAUGAAUUUUAAGCUCGUUCCAUGGCUCGAGCUUAAUCCGCAUAAGUCUAGACCAUGGACGAAGCUUAAAUCGCAUAAGUCCAUAUCUAUUUAAAUUGAUAAAAAAAAAAAAAAAACUUACGCAUUUUAUUUGCAUCACAAAUUAAAAUUACCACACGAUUCAACCCAAUUUGAUUUGCAUCACAAAUUAAAAUUAAAAAACAAAAAUAAAUCAUGAAUCACUCCCAGCAAACUCCAUUAACAAAUUUCUGUCAAUUAACACCCCCUAUACGACUUACUGUCAAUUUUUUGGAACAAAUUCUGUCAAUUUUUGGUGGAUCAACCCAGAUUAACAAGUCUCAUUAUCACAAAUCUAACCAAAUGCAUCAAGAAUAAUAACCCAAUUCAUGAAUAACCCAACAAAAAAGUUGAAGAAGAAGGUGGUUGUGUGGUGGUGGUCGACGAUUGAAGCAGAAGAAGGUGGGUGUGUGGUGGUGGUCGGCGGUUGAAGCAGAAGACGAAGAUGGGUGUGUGGUGGUCGGCGGUUAAAGAUGAAGAAGAAGAUGGGUAUGUGUGUGGUGGUGGUCGGCGGUUAAAGAUGAAGAAGGUGGGUGUGUGGUGGUGGUCGCUUAAAGAUGAAGAAGGUGGGUGUGUGGUGGUGGUUGGCGGUUGAAGCAGAAGACGGAGGUGAGUGUGUGGUGGUCGGCGGUUGGAGUAGAAGACGAAGGUGGGGGUGUGGUGGUGGUCGGUUUGUAGUGAUCCGGUGGAGUGAAGGUGGUGUGUGGUGGUGGUUGGAUGAAGAGACUUUCUCUCUCCAAAAUAGAUGGGGUAAAAUUUGGGAGGAAAAUUUCAUUAAGUAAGGAUAUUAACGUAAAUUAGUGGGGCGAUUUUGAAUAAUGUGGGACGGCUUUUAGCGCUCCACUUUAAAAAUCAUAAUCAACCACUAUUAGUGGGCUAUGCCCGUUUAAGAUGGAGGUUCCGAUCUCAACUUAAAUACUACUCCGUAGCAGUUUGGCACCAACAUAAAUACAUACUCCGUAAUUUUAUAAUUUACAUAUCUCUGAGAUUUGGAGCAAUUCUCUGUGCUAACAUCAGCGGCACCACAACAACAACAUCACCGGUAACUUCCUUUAUCUCUUUGUUAACGAUUUAUUCUGAAUUUCGAUUUACAAGUAUUUGUAACCUUAAGGGGCCGAUUAUAAACAAUUCAAAAAUAAAGCCCUAAUUGGAGAAUAAUUUUGUCGAUUAAUUAAAUUUUGUUUAAGGUAGGUGUGACCAAUCAACGAGCAACAAUCAACCAGAUUCUAUCAUUUGUUCCCAUUAAAGAUGCAGGUCGAACUUGCAUUCUGUCCAAGGACUGGGAAACAGUAUGCACUUCCUAGUUCCUACAACAUUUACCCAUCUCUGCAUUACGAUCACAAUUCCUUUGCAUCACAAUUACUAGUUUCCCCCGAAAGUGGGCAAGAGCCUGGACUUUGUGAAAUUAGGGACAAAUUCAUGGAUUUUGCAGAGAAUCACUUGGUAACAAUACACCAGUUCAACCCACCCGUGCUAAAAUUAACACUGGAUGUUGUUGUAUUUGAUGAUGAUUUUUCACGUGUUGAUCGGUUAAUGGAUUUGGUUGGAAAAACAAAGGCCGAGGAAUUGUGUGUUUCUCGUUGGUAUAAUGAUAUUUUUAAGGCAGUAGUAUGUUACGACUUACGAGUUCCCUUACACGACUGUACUCGCUUCUAAACAGUUACAAUCUCUUUCUAUUAAAUGGUGCAAGUUUACGAGUGACAACAAAUUAAUCAACAACAAUGCGGGUAUGUUUUCUUCCUUACAACAGUUGAGGCUGUUACAAGUUAUAUUGGAUGAUGAAGCAUUAAGUAACUUAGCAAGUUGUUGUCCGGUGAUUCAACUUAUACACUUUGACUGAUAUCAGCUUCACUACUAAUGAGGUGGAAUUGUCAAAAUUCCAAUGUUUAUAUCGACUGUCCAAAAUUAACCAACUUUCGCUAUCAUGGAAUUGUCAAAAUUCCAAUGUUUACUCUUCUUAACAUACCCCCUACGGUACGGUAUAUUUCGCUCAGUUUUGAUCUGUAUUCCGCCCUUAACUCGCCGUGGAUCAUCAACUUAAACAAGUUGCUACAACAAAUACAAGAAAAACCUAUGUGUUUUCCUUCAUCUUUCUGUUUCGUAUUGUAAGUUGGUCGAAUACGUAUACGUUCCGGAUGAAUCUGAAGCCAGUCAUAUUUCACCGCGUAAUCUUCACCUAGAAGUCCUUGUGCCCUUUGACCUUGACAUGGAAAAUUCAACAGCUUUUAUAGAUGGCUUGAUUUGGAAUACCUGUCCGGCUACCUUGAGUAUAUACGGCUAUGCUUAUAAUCCCAUUAAGUACUUGUGUGAAAAACUAGCGGAUAAGAAAUUGGGAGAUGAAUGCUGUUGUGAAGCGCAUUUAUGCAAUAAAUAUUGGUGGCAUAACAUUGAAGAUUUUGAAGUUAAGCACGAAAAUAAGGACAUGAAGGAGAAGUUGACAUCUUUGCCGAAGCUGUGCUGGGAAUACCAACGAAGAAGACAUGGGCCUUUUAUUACAUUCCAGUGGCGCAGGCGCUCAUAUGAUAGCUGCAAUGUAUAGACAUACAGAUCGAAUUCCUUGAGUUUUCUGUAUUUUCUAGGCUAUACAAAACUCGUUUCCUUGAUAAUCACGCUUGCCUCUCUCGCUUCUAAGUUCUAUGAUAACGAGUUCCAUGUUUUUAGUUCAUUGCAGCUGCACAUUGUAUUGACAAUAUUUAGGGGUUAGCUUGGGGUUUUGCUAAACUUUGUAUAUAAUAUACUUUCGGAAAAAUCAUCACCAUAUGACUGGUUGUACAUCGUAGAUUCAUAGGGUACAACCAACGCUGUUUUUUACACAAGAUUCAAGCACGUGUGAUAAAAGAUAGCCUUAGUUUUUUUUUUUUUUUUUUUUUUUUUUGACAAAGAGAAAAGUUAGCCUUAGUU